rnacentral:snRNA from 1 species
GUACUCUGGUUUUUCUUCAGAGUCUAUAAAUCUUUCACCUUUUACUAAGAAUUUCCAUGGAGAAGAACAUUUAUGAGUUCGUAACCCAUUUGUUUAGGCUAUUCUAUAAACCGCU